UGAGGGAUAUUGGUCAAUGGGCGCAAGCCUGAACCAGCGACGCCGCGUGGGUGAAGAAGGUCUUCGGAUCGUAAAGCCCUUUUCCCACUGAAGAGGAAGGACGGUAGGUGGGGAAGAAGUCUCGGCUAACUACGUGCCAGCAGCCGCGGUAAAACGUAGGAGACAAGCGUUAUCCGGAGUUACUGGGCGUAAAGGGCGUGCAGGUGGCGUCUUAAGUCUGUUGUGAAAGCGCCUGGCUUAACCGGGCGAGGCCAAUGGAGACUGAGAGGCUGGAGGACGGCGGAGGGGUGUGGAAUUCCGGGUGUAGUGGUGAAAUGCGUAGAGAUCCGGAGGAACACCAGAGGCGAAGGCGGCACUCUAAGCCGUACCUGACACUGAGACGCGACAGCACGG
rnacentral:rRNA from 1 species